UACGUAGGGGGGCAAGCGUUGUCCGGAAUUAUUGGGCGUAAAGCGCGCGCAGGCGGCUUUGUAAGUCUGGUGUUUAAACCUAGGGCUCAACCCUGGGUCGCAUUGGAAACUGCAAGGCUUGAGUGCAGAAGAGGAGAGUGGAAUUCCACGUGUAGCGGUGAAAUGCGUAGAGAUGUGGAGGAACACCAGUGGCGAAGACGGCCUGCUGGGCUGUUGCUGACGCUGAGGCGCGACAGCGUGGGGAGCAAACAGG
rnacentral:rRNA from 1 species